UACGGAGGAUGCAAGCGUUAUCCGGAAUGAUUGGGCGUAAAGCGUCCGCAGGUGGCUAUGUAAGUCUGCUGUUAAAGAGUGAGGCUCAACCUCAUAAGAGCAGUGGAAACUACAUAGCUAGAGUGCGUUCGGGGCAGAGGGAAUUCCUGGUGUAGCGGUGAAAUGCGUAGAGAUCAGGAAGAACACCGGUGGCGAAGGCGCUCUGCUAGGCCGUAACUGACACUGAGGGACGAAAGCUAGGGGAGCGAAUGGG
rnacentral:rRNA from 1 species